rnacentral:rRNA from 1 species
GGUGCUGCAUGGCUGUCGUCAGCUCGUGUCGUGAGAUGUCGGUUAAGUCCGCUAACGAGCGCAACCCUCGCUGUGUGUUAUAUGUGUCACACGGGACUGCCGGUCUUAAGCCGGAGGAAGGUGGGGAUGACGUCAAGUCAGCAUGGCCUUUAUGUCCUGGGCUACACACACGCUACAAUGGCCAACACAAUAGGUUGCUAAGCCGCGAGGUGGAGCCAAUCCUCAAAGUUGGUCUCAGUUCAGAUUGCAGGCUGCAACCCGCCUGCAUGAAGAUGGAGUUGCUAGUAACCGCAGGUCAGCUAUACUGCGGUGAAUACGUUCCCGGGGCUU